UUUCUUAAAGCAGUUAACUUGGCAACAGCUGAGAGUAAGUGCCAAACUUCCACCAACAACUAUGGCUUCCUUGGCAAACGUCCCCUACAUUCUCGGACCCCCAAAUACUCAUCACAAACCCCACAACAACAUUAAUAACAACAACAACUUCAAAUCUCUCUGCCACCAUCUUCCAUUUUAUAGGAACAUCUGGUGGGUCUCUGCUACCACUGUCACGCCAAAACGAAAUUCUUCAACUAUCACCUGCUUUGCUGCUAAUAAGCCAUCCUCAUCCACUGAAAUCAGUUCUACCGCCAGGAUACGGAGUGAAGUUCUUACUCCCUUUCGGUCUGUUCGGAUGUUCUUUUAUCUUGCUUUCAUAGCAAGCGGUGCUCUUGGAGGAUUUAUAGCAACCACACAAUUGAUUGCUGCAUUAACAAAUUCAUCAAAAACAGCUGAUAUCCCUGAGAUGUUGAAAGGUCUUGGCAUAGACAUUGGAGCAGUAUCUCUUUUUGCAUUCCUUUAUUAUAGGGAGAACAAUGCUAAGAAUUUGCAAAUGGCUAGGCUCUCAAGAGAGGAAAGCCUUUCAAAUCUUAAGCUCCGUGUGGACCAAAAGAGGAUUAUCCCAGUCAGCUCUUUGAGAGGGAUUGCUCGGCUUGUAAUUUGUGCUGGCCCUGCAUCCUUCAUUUUGGAGUCUUUUAGACUAAGUGAACCUUUCACUGAAAGCCUUUUGGACAGAGGGGUGCUUGUAGUACCCUUUCCUACAGAUGGCAGUUUGCCUAGUUUUGAAAUUGAAGAAAAUGAAGAGACAAAGGAGAUUACCACCAAAAGAAAGAGACUCUGGCAACUGGCUCCUGUUUAUACUUCUGAGUGGUCCAAGUGGUUAGCUGAACAGAAGAAGCUGGCUGGUGUCCCCUCUGAGUCUCCAGUGUAUCUAUCACUACGAUUGGAUGGUCGUGUUCGUGGAAGUGGUGUUGGUUACCCUCCUUGGAAUGCUUUUGUUGCACAAUUACCACCUGUAAAGGGAAUAUGGUCAGGCAUUCUGGAUGGCAUGGAUGGAAGAGUUCUUUGAAGAAUCUGUUUCCAUUUAUGAAGGCAGAAGCUUUCGGAUGUAGGCAACGGUGCCAAUCAUGGUGAGGAGACAUUGGCCAUUUCUUCAUUUAAUUUGUAUAUUUGGAUCCUCUGCCAAUUCUCUUGCUCUUCCACUGCAGAAUUUUCAAGUUUCUGCCUGCAACCUUAUGGUCAUACAAGGCUUGGCUCUUUGUUUACACCUUACACAUUUGACAAGGUUUGCUGUGCAGCAUGAAUUCUGAGAAGGGUGACACCAAACAGCACUCAUCAUUCUAAUAGGAGUGGGUACGGGGAUUUUAGGCUUUGAUGGGGUCUUGAUUUAUACAAGGAGGAUGAACAAGCAACCACAUAUUAGAAUAUGAAGGAAGUUCACUAGAAUAUGAGAUGUGUAACAAAUGUAACUGUCUAAUCAUGGCUUCAAUAUACUUUUUUUUUUUGUAUAAAGGUAUAACUAUGGCUUCAGUAUACUUAAACCUGUAUAAAAGGAACUUAUUUUUUGUUUUCACUUUUUGGAAUUUCUUUUCUGUUGCUACUAUUGGAGUUUCCUAUCACUAUAUAUCUCUCGGGAUAAAGGUAUUCAAAAUGUGCUGUCACUGUGCAUAAAGAAUUAAUGAUGGCCUUGAUUUUAAAACUGGUUCAAAUCACAGCUAGUGUAGUAUAUGUUAUGGACAAUAUCAAUUUGGCUCUUGGCAGCAUUUGUCAUAACAUAAUAAGGAAGAAGAAACAAGAAAUCACAGAGAGAGUAUAUAUUCGUCACACAGACAAACUAAAGCUA